ACGCCAUCGCAUGGUCUCUGACACACGUUGAGACACAUUACAUAAUCUAAACGUUCAGAUCAAGCCAUACAUCCGAUUAGUUCCGCUAAUAAAUAAGUUUAUUGUAAUUUCAAUCAAUUUUAAAAGUCCCAAUUCAGUUUGUUACAGCCAUGAUUCAUCUUAUAAAAGUCAUUUAGUAGCCUACCUAACUAUUAUGUGCUUCAAUGAAUUGUUGACAAUGGUAUUGCGAACCGGUUCAAGUGAUUCUUUAAAAAGAUCCGAAUCAAAAAACUAAACUACAGUUGCUUCUCAAUGCAUAGUAUCUGCCCCCCUUAAUUCUACAAAAGCUAAACAACUAUCAGUCACUGAAUGUCCUCAUUUGCAAAUAAGGAUUCUCUCAUAAAACGAGGUGAGGCUAAGUUCUUAAAGGGAUAUACAGUAGUAUGCCACUUUGAUGGAGUGAUUACAGAAGCAGGCAAGACACAACAGGCACAACACAUGGGUGUGUGAAGAAAGCGAGAGCAGUUUGGGGUCUUGAUGCGAUAAUCCCACAUAACAGUAGAAAGGGAGCACAAUUUCAUUUGUAGUGACAAACAUCAUGGAUACACACUGAAAGAGCCACGCUACCUUCUGGUCUGUACUGGGCAAUGAUGGUCACCGUCUGUCCAGCCCUCUUCAGCGCAGCAGCCGCCUGCUCAUGGGUAGCAUUGCGCAGGUUUACACCAUUCACCUGGGACAAUACCAUGCUCUCCGCUCAGGUCGGCUGGCCCUCCUGCCAAGAUGAAAGACACGAAGAUGCCCUCUCCGUCCUCCCCGCCCACGAUGUUGAAUCCCAAACCUGUGGAACCCUUGUGUAGAAGGAUCUUCCGCGGCUCCCUGCCAAGCAGAACGACAGUGUUAAGGAUCAGGCUGGCCUCGGAUCACAAAAGCAGCAGAGAGAGGAAAUCGAGAAGAACAGAUCCAUGAGAAAACACAACGCUCUAGUCACGACUAGAGGAGACUGGCAAACUUUCAUCCACAACAAAGCUAAACAACAAGUGUUCCAGAUUUGUUCCAGAAAUGAGCGCUAACACAUACACAUGAUAACUAACACACUUUCCCACACAGGCACAAAACGCAUUCACACAUUGAGCUCAUUCCUGCCUUGUGCAGGACUGCGGUACUGUUUUAGCAGCCGUGAUUCAUCUGCAGGCAGAGAGGCAUUCCAGACUGCCCAGAGCUGGCGCACCAGAGAGACUCGGCUACAUUCAGAGGCCGGCAAAAACCCUUUCCGCAUGUACUGCAGAAUAACCCCAAAACCAGUUCCCAAAAAUGCAACACACAUCAACAUUUGUAGUGACAGCUCCCUGCUUUCAGCAGGGCAGUACGCAUGUUUCUCAUUAGAAUUCUGCACUCGGCUAGCUCUCGACAUGAGCCAUUCUAUCUCGAUUGCCCAUGGUGCAGCUUUAUGAUGCUGAAAACAGCAAUUUUAUGUGACCGGACAAGCUGUGCUUUUAGGAAAGGUUUGGUCCAUAUAUGAAACAUACAUAAUUACACAAACUGACUAUGAUGUACUUUGUGUGAUCUACUGGUGUACUGGAGUGUGAAUCAAUUUACCGAGAACCUUAUGUCCAUAAAUUUAAUGCAAGUGUUUUUAAUCACCUUUUUAACCUCUGUUUAUUACAUGACACGCAGUAAAACCAUGACCUGAACAAUAGUUCCCUGUUUACUGUCGCUCUAAUGGGUCUCUUGUAUACAACAUUAUUUAUUAGUUCCUCUCUUUUGCAGUCUAUCCUGCUCCAAGUUGACAAACUGCAAAAGCUCACACACACUCAUUUUGAACAUGUAUGCCAAACAACUGUGAUUGAUUAACCUGUUAAAACUCCAGACAGGGUUGUGUAUAAUUCAGAAUUGAAAAAUUUGCUUCUUUUUAGUUUAAGAAGUUGAUUUUCCACAUAAAGUUUAAUUCAAGUGACAUGAAGAGGAAUUUAAUCGCAAUUCAAAGAUAUUCAACAGACAGUGGGUUCUGGGAAAUUAAAGCUGCAGUCCAUAAGUUUUGCCAUCUCUGUUUGAAACCUGCAAAUUGCAGUUAUUUGCGAAAUAAUCAUCUUUACGUGGGUUGUGCAU